ACGGGGGGGGCAAGCGUUGUUUGGAAUUACUGGGCGUAAAGGGCUCGUAGGUGGCCAACUAAGUCAGACGUGAAAUCCCCAGGCUCAACUUGGGAACUGCGUCUGAUACUGGAUGGCUUGAAUUCGGGAGAGGGAUGCAGAAUUCCAGGUGUAGCGGUGAAAUGCGUAGAUAUCUGGAGGAAUACCGGUGGCGAAGGCGGCAUCCUGGACCGAGAUUGACACUGAGGAGCGAAAGCUAGGGGAGCAAACGGGA
rnacentral:rRNA from 1 species